CAGCACCUCAAGUGGUCAGGAUGAUUAUUGGGCCUAAAGCAUCCGUAGCCGGCGCUGUAAGUUUUCGGUUAAAUCUGUACGCUCAACGUACAGGCUGCCGGGAAUACUGCAGCGCUAGGGAGUGGGAGAGGUAGACGGUACUCGGUAGGAAGGGGUAAAAUCCUUUGAUCUAUUAAUGACCACCUGUGGCGAAGGCGGUCUACCAGAACACGUCCGACGGUGAGGGAUGAAAGCUGGGGGAGCAAACCGGAUUAGAUACCCGUGUAGUCC
rnacentral:rRNA from 1 species